AAGCUUGGUGACCGUCAGAGCCGAUUGAGGCGGUGCCUUUGCGUCGCCUGCAUCACAGGCCGGCUACCAUCCAACCAGCACUCUCCUGGUCCAACGGGUACCGUCACCGCAGAGUGUGAGCCCCUCAGCGCAGAGGACUCUGUAAAUACAGUAAGCGAGAUGCUGCUCUCUUUAGUGCCAACUGGACAGCAAGAAACCCAGAGCGUUAAAUCAGCCACCCACAUUGGUGCACUGCCCUGUGCAAACCACCCCAUUGCUCUUCCUGGAGGAUGUCCUCUAGGCCAGCGGUUCUCACCUUUUUGGGCUCAGGACCCGUUGUAGAACUGGUGCUUCCCCUGUUGCUGCCUGUUCGCCAAAUGCAUCAGCUUGAGCAGGAGGUCACUCGCCGAGCCAUCCAGCACAGUCAGGUUCUUCUCUGAGGGCUCUCGACUUCUGUCACUAUCGUCAUCCAGGCAAA